rnacentral:misc_RNA from 1 species
GAAAAAUGCUUUAUAUGCUUUUAAAACCUAAAUAUUUGAUUCCUUUUAUUUAAGAAAACUCUCUCUUUCUCAGAUUGAUCCUCUCUUUGGCCGCUUUGGAUCAAAGGAGAUGGUGGAGGUAGAGAGAACUCAGAAUCCAUGGGUAAGUGCAGAGCAAAUAUCAAGAGUCGAAAUCAACGGUCACGAUAUGUUCGUGUCGGAAUCCUUGGUGGUAGAUGGAGCGGAGCCUGGUUUCUCUGCUUCUCAGUCUCAACAAUCAAACAGUAAGACCGAUGGGAAUUUAGGGCUUGGGGAAAGAGCUAUCUCUGCUGCUGGUGCUGCCUUUUUAUCAGCUAUUAUUGUUAACCCUCUUGACGUUGCCAAGACAAGGUUGCAAGCGCAGGCUGCAGGGGUUCCUUACUCCCACCCACUAAGUAACAUCACUAGUCGAAUGGCAUAUUUUGGCCCAAACAUGAUGUUUGCUGAUUUAAGGUGUUCACCAUCAUGCACCCGUGCUGGAAUUCAUGGAACAGUAUCAAUUUGCCCCCCUGAUUGUUUUCAGUACAAAGGAACUCUUGAUGUCUUCUACAAAAUCAUACGACAGGUUGGUGUUCUUUGCUUUCUGUGACAUUUUAAAGCGGAUCAUUUUGAUCAUGCCAGUUAAUCACAUUUCACAAGAAGAUGAAAUGCUUCUACAUGUUUCAUGCAAGUGGGGAGUUGUUCAUCUCAAAUCAGAUGACAUGUGUUGUGAUUUUUCAAUGAACAGUUGCAAGCACAACAUACUCUAUUGACUCGAAAAGAUUGUGAUGUGUUUUCUGUUCUAGGUUUUAUUUGCCAUAGUAGUCAUUGUAUAUGAGUUUCCUAUAGAUUUGGUCCACUCUCAACUAUUUACUGGGAGGUGCUUUUCAGGAAGGAAUUGCUAGGCUAUGGAGAGGCACAAAUGCUGCUCUGGCCUUGGCCGUACCAACGGUGGGAAUCUACCUACCAUGCUAUGAUGUGUUUCGUAAUUGGAUGGAGGAUUUUUCCUCCCAGAAUAUUCCUGGUGCAACACCAUAUGUGCCUUUAGUAGCAGGUUCAUUGGCACGUUCUUUAGCUUGUGCAACUUGUUAUCCUGUUGAACUUGCAAGAACUCGCAUGCAGGUGGGCAAAAAUAGAAAUUCCGUGAUUUCAAGAUUUAGUCUGUGGUUACCAGUGCUGUACAGUAUAUGCGAGAAUUGAUUAGAUGGUUUUAGAAUAUCUUUGUUUUGGUGCUGAUCUCAUUUCAUCUUUCCUCUCUCUCACCUUUUUAUUUUCUUUUUCAUGGUAUAAUGGUAGCUUCUUAUUUCGGCACCUUAUUACAAUUGUAGGCAUUUAAAGCAGCCCAUAUUGGUAAACCUCCUGGAGUUUGGAAAACUCUGCUGGAGGUCCUUUCCCAUGUCAGGAGCACUAGUAAUGUCCAAAACAACCGUAAGUUGGUUCCUUUACCUGCAUAGUUUUUGAUCUUUGCAUUGCAGCUCAAAACACAUCAACUAAUUAUGAAGUUCUCUGUUAUGCUAAAUUUUUACUGGGAGGAACAGAAAGUGAAGGAUUGUGGCUCAGAGCACAUCCUGUUUACGUAUGGAAAACUAGUUAACAUUUACUUAUUUUAGUUGAUAUACUUGAUUGCAACAGUGGGAGGUUACCGCGUGUUAUGGACAGGCAUGGGGGCACAGCUUGCUCGUGAUGUUCCAUUCUCUGCAAUUUGCUGGUCAACCCUUGAGCCAGUGAGAACCCAAUUGUUUGGCUGUUAUGGAAAAAAAAAAAAAAAAACAUGAGCUUGCCAAAUUUUGUAAAUUAGCAUUACCAAGACCAGUUGGAAUUCCUUCAAUGAUUGUUACAGAAGUUAUAAGCAGGAUAUCUUCAAUUCUCCUCUUCUUCAUCAGUUAUCACUUCUAGCUUUGUUUAAUUGACUUAAGCAUUCAAAAUCAAACUCGUUAUUUAUUAUUUAGUUCCUUGUUUUAAUAUUAUUAAUGCUUUUGUCUUCAUUAAUAAUUAUAACUCAUUUAAAUCAUCAUCACCAAUCAUACAAAUCAAGAAAUAAAAUUUUUUUUAACAAAAAUUGUAAUAAACAAAUUCCCAAGGCAGCAGACUCCUCACACCCUUUAACUCUGAAUCCUCUUUUCCAUUUCUUUCCAUAUCCUUUAACUCCACUUUGCAUAUAUUCAAACAACCAAUUACAUUCAAUCAACAAAUUGCACGUAAUUGUACUACGACUGAGUUCGGAAAAUUUGAGUUUCAGAAUUUCAAAUUCCGAAUAAGUUGAGGAGAACUUUUUAACAUGGUUUGAAAAUUUCCAACAUAGAGCAGCUCAGGUACAAGUACUAUAGAUUAGGCACAUCCAAAUUAGAAGAGUGAACAAGAUGAGCAGAUCGGUGAGGGUGGAUUGGGCGAGAGAGUUGGGUAAAUGAAAAUCGGACAUUAUAAAGAUGAAACGAAACCUGAAAUUUGAAAAAAAGAAGACAAGGAAAAGAAAUGGGUAUGGUUUUUUUGGGCAUUGGGUUAGACGGAAACCUUAAGAAUUGAGCGAAGGCGAGUAUUUGGAGCAAGAGAACGUGAUAGAGGCCAUGAUUGAUCUAAUAUAAGUUGGAUUUAAAAUGGGGGUGUCAAAUAGGGAUGAUAAUGAGAAAAAAAAAGAUUAGGAAAAUGUAGGGAAUAAUCCAAGGGUGGGAUGAGAAACUACAGAACUCUUAAAUUCAUUUCAUUUCCUCCUCUUUUCUCAUAGUUUCUCAUCAAUCAAACAGAAAGGAGACAAGAAAAAAAAGAAAAUAAAUAAACAUUAAAAAGAAAUUGACAACAAUAUAAACAAGAAGAAGGAAAAUAAUAUAAAUAAGAGAACUUUGAACACGUACCUGAUAAAUAUGGAAUUGUAUU